rnacentral:rRNA from 1 species
GUAGGGUGCGAGCGUUAAUCGGAAUUACUGGGCGUAAAGCGUGCGCAGGCGGUUGUGCAAGACCGAUGUGAAAUCCCCGGGCUCAACCUGGGAACUGCAUUCGAAACUGGCAGGCUAGAGUCUUGUAGAGGGGGGUAGAAUUCCAGGUGUAGCGGUGAAAUGCGUAGAGAUCUGGAGGAAUACCGGUGGCGAAGGCGGCCCCCUGGACAAAGACUGACGCUCAGGUGCGAAAGCGUGGGGAGCAAACAGGAUUAGAUACCCUGGUAGUCCACGCCGUAAACGAUGUCGACUUGGAGGUUGUUCCCUUGAGGAGUGGCUUCCGGAGCUAACGCGUUAAGUCGACCGCCUGGGGAGU